UCUCCGUUGGUGAACCAGCGGAGGGAUCAUUACCGAGUUUACAACUCCCAAACCCCUAUGUGAACGUUACCAAACUGUUGCCUCGGCGGGAAAUUCAUGCCCCGGGCGCGUCGCAGCCCCGGACCAAGGCACCCGCCGGAGGACCAACCAAAACUCUUCUGUAUGUCCCUCGCGGACUUUUAUAAUUCUGAACCAUCUCGGCGCCCCUAGCGGGCGUUUCGAAAAUGAAUCAAAACUUUCAACAACGGAUCUCUUGGUUCUG
rnacentral:misc_RNA from 1 species